UCAUUCAUGUGCACAUCAACUGAGAGCUGCAGAGGUCGUGUCUGAUGGACUAACAUCCAUCUGAGGCACAGCUUUCAUUAGUUCACUACAAAAAGUGUCACAGAGCCGAGUUCAGCCUCCAAAUCCUCCAUUAUUGAGGUCCUUCAAAGCAGCAGGUCAAACGUGGCUGUAGAAAUGGCAGAGAACAGCUUUAUUUCAGUAACAAUGUCCAGGACCGAGCUGACAGCUUGCAGAGUUCAUACUCUAUAACUGCUAGCUGCUCUGCUAGCUAAGCUAACUCAUGUUAAAUGUCAGAGUAAAGAACAGCACGCAGCAACACCACAUAAGAGCAGGCAGAGAGAGGUAUGGGGUCUUCACACACCCCUGUUCUCUGUUCACCAUCGGGGCAGGGGCCUGGGAGGAGGAGUUGGCCAUCUGGUCGAGGUCUGGGAUGCUGGGCCUCCCUGCUACUGCAGGACCAGGGGUGGUCUGCGUGUCUCCACCCCAGGGAAAAGGGCAACAUCUACUGGGUCUAGAGGCAGAUUGGGCCUCUGGGGGCGAUGGUACCUGGACCUGAGGGUAUAGAGUAUGUUUGGGGAGUGUGAGCAUGUGUACAAUGUUCAUUUCUGUUUGUCUCCACGUUGGGCGAGUGCUGCAUAUUUGUAUAUGUGCGCAUGAGGGUGGGAGUGCAUGCUUGUGUCUGUGUGUGCCUGUUUGUCUAUGUCUAUGUAUCAGGUUGGGGCUUAGACUCCACCUCUCUCCCCAGGUGUGGGGCCCUAUCUCCCCCCACCACACUCCCUGCCAGUGGCUGAUGCCCUCAGCCAUUGGUGCCUUGGUGGUGCUCGGCUUCCUGGGCUGCUGGCUUGACAGGGCUUGGCGCCAUGACUCAGUUGGGCCCCUUCCCAGGGGUGGGGGGCCCUCCAUCCUCUCUGGCGUGGCUAGCUACCGGCAGAGCCUGCGGGCACGUAACCUCAGCUCCCUGUGGCUUUUGCACCGCAGCUGCUGGGUGACCCCUCAGCUCUUGUCAGCUCUUUCUGGGAGGGUGGCACACCUGCCCCUCUGGUGGUCUUCCUUGGGCUCUCGUGCUCUGGGGGGGGGGCUCUGGAUGUCUGGUGCCUGGAUCUCCUCGAUGCCUGCUUUAUUCCCUGGGGGGCGGGGCUAUGGUUCCCCACACCCUCACGUAGAUAGUUACAUCGAGAAACCUUUUGAAUACAAGUGCGCUCAUCCACACAGGUGUGUGCACACAGACACAAACUAUACCUUUCUUGGCUGCUACCUCAGAGCAUAUUGUGUGCUGUCGGUCUUGUGUGUUGCCCAAAAACAUUUAAUAUUUAGUAUUUACUGUUACGUAUACUUAUCAGGGUUGUUGCUGUGGUCUCCCUACUGUGUUGCUCUCUUUUUGCUUGUUUUCUUUUUUUUCUUUCAACAGGUGAUCCAGCAGAUUUUUUGUGUGCCUUUUCUCACUGUCCCUCUUCCCCUCUGUUUUCUUUCCCUCCCUUUCUUUCUUUCUCUCUCUCCUAUCUCGCUGUCAUGUCUGUCUAUUUUGUAAUAACUUAAAAUAAAAUAAAUAAAUAAUAAUAACAAAGAUCAAUCAAGUGGACCAAUAUGGGAAAGCCAAAAUGAUCCACCUGGAUUAAAUAAAUCUGUUGGGCAUCUUUCUUGGCCUUCAGACAAUAAUUGUCAUGUGGACAUGUGUGUUUUUGGUGCUGCUGUCCCCUGUUUCCAUGUUGUUGUCUCUAGGUGGGUGUGUGUGGGUGUGUCAGCCCCGGCAUCAUCAAAGAAGCUCCUCACCGCAGCCGGAUUCCCGGACUUUUCAACAGCCAGCUGUGAGGUCAAUACACCUGCUGGUCCCACAUCAGUCGUCUCUGGAGGGUCCGAGGGGCUGCUUCAGCUGUCAUCUGCUUCACCAUCGGCAUCUGCUAUGCUGCCAUCAUCUCAUCUGUCUGCAGCUGCUACACCACCACCCUUUCACCUGCCUGCAACCGCUACACCACCAUUCUCUCCACCACCUGCAGCUGCAGCGCUACGUGGACCUACUCAACCCAGGCCAGAGGUCAGCGUGCCAGAGGGACGCCCUCCACGUCGCCCACGGCCAGUGCAUCCACGGCCAGCACAGCCAGCACAUCGGGGAUCAUGUGCCAUUCUACACUGUGGCUCACCGGAGCUGCGCCGCCACCACCAGACCCGUGGCAGGCCGCCUGAGCCGCAACGAGGUUGCCACUGGACUUGUGGCAGUAACAGUUUGAACAGGAUGAUUUACUGAAACUAUUUGAAAACAUCCAUCCAUUCGCUUCCGCUUAUCCUUUUCAGGGUCGCUGGAGCCUGUUUGAGCCUGUUUGUUUGAAAACAUAUCUUUGUUAUUGUUACUGCUACCUGCUUGGUACUUUUUCUGUACUGUGUGUUGUAGAGAGUAAGAUCUGAAGUUCUUUUAUUUUGGGACUAAACAUGCUGUACAGGAAGUCAGAAUCAGACCCAUCAGAUAUAAACCAGCAGACCCACAGAGCUGAAAGCAAAGCUGUGUCUGUACAUCUGCCUGUUUAAGCACAGGAAGUAGUUUCUAGUUUCAACUAGUUUGUCAACUUCCUGUGUGUGGUCAUGUGACUGUUAGUGACUCAGAGAGAUGUUAAAAACAGGAAGUGGGGUUGCUAAGCGGUUGCUACGUUUUUGAUGUCACACAAACUAGGACGAGGACCUUUGACCUGAGCAGGAAGAAGAGCCUGAUAAUCUGGAGAAACUCUGCCUGUGUAAAAAUAACAGCAUUAUCUACACACAGCUGGUUAUUGGUGUUCUGACAGACAUUUGGUAAAUCAUGAAUGUAAAAAGAAAAUAAAAGUGGUCCCAGGAUUGAACCUCUGGGUACUCCAACUUUACAAUCAAGGCAAGGAGAUUUAAUACAGAGUCUGUUUGAAAACAUACAAACUGACUCAUAACAGAGUCUUUUUUUCCUUCAAACAUCCAGGACAACAAACGUGUCUGUAAACAGCAGCUGAAACUUCCAGAAACUGAAGAAAAAAAAACACUCAACUCAAAGCUUCAAGAAACCAAACUAUGAACCCUGGGUCUGUUGCC